rnacentral:rRNA from 2 species
GUUGGAGGUUGAUUCCUGGCUCAGGACGAACGCUGGCGGCGUGCUUAACACAUGCAAGUCGAACGAUGAACCUGGAGCUUGCUCUAGGGGAUUAGUGGCGAACGGGUGAGUAACACGUGAGUAACCUGCCCUUGACUCUGGGAUAACCUCCGGGAAACGGAAGCUAAUACCGGAUAUGACGUACGGAGGCAUCUCCUGUACGUGGAAAGAACUUCGGUCAAGGAUGGACUCGCGGCCUAUCAGGUAGUUGGUGAGGUAACGGCCCACCAAGCCUACGACGGGUAGCCGGCCUGAGAGGGUGACCGGCCACACUGGGACUGAGACACGGCCCAGACUCCUACGGGAGGCAGCAGUGGGGAAUAUUGCACAAUGGGCGAAAGCCUGAUGCAGCAACGCCGCGUGAGGGACGACGGCCUUCGGGUUGUAAACCUCUUUUAGUAGGGAAGAAGCGAAAGUGACGGUACCUGCAGAAAAAGCACCGGCUAACUACGUGCCAGCAGCCGCGGUAAUACGUAGGGUGCGAGCGUUGUCCGGAAUUAUUGGGCGUAAAGAGCUCGUAGGCGGUCUGUCGCGUCUGCUGUGAAAACCCGAGGCUCAACCUCGGGCCUGCAGUGGGUACGGGCAGACUAGAGUGCGGUAGGGGAGAAUGGAAUUCCUGGUGUAGCGGUGGAAUGCGCAGAUAUCAGGAGGAACACCGAUGGCGAAGGCAGUUCUCUGGGCCGUAACUGACGCUGAGGAGCGAAAGCGUGGGGAGCGAACAGGAUUAGAUACCCUGGUAGUCCACGCCGUAAACGUUGGCCCCUAAAUGUGGGGACCAUUCCACGGUUUCCGUGUCGCAGCUAACGCAUAAGCGCCCCGCCUGGAAGAACGCA